AAGAGGGAACCCGGUGGGAAUCCGGGACUGCCCCGCAGCGGUGAGUGGGAACGACCGCCGUCAUACGCACUGGGCCCGGCCGGGUCUGGGAAGCGACGGCCAUUAGGUGUCUGCCCCGGCAGGCGUGCCCGCGAGUCCGAAGACCU
rnacentral:ncRNA from 2 species